rnacentral:misc_RNA from 1 species
GCAAACUUGGUCAUUUAGAGGAAGUAAAAGUCGUAACAAGGUUUCCGUAGGUGAACCUGCGGAAGGAUCAUUAUAGAGUGAGAGUUUUCUAAACUCAACCUCCCAUCCGAUGUUUAUAUCACUUAUUGUUGCUUUGGUAGGGUUCUCUCUACCAAUAGCCUUAACAAAUUCUUUAAUUAUGAUGUCUAAGUAAAAUAUUUAAUUAUUUAAAACUUUCAACAACGGAUCUCUUGGUUCUGGCAUCGAUGAAGAACGCAGC